rnacentral:lncRNA from 1 species
UCGCCAACAUUAAAGAACUCGUCAUCGGAGAUGACGAAACCCAACCAGUAACAUUAAAGAAUUAGCCACGAGCGAUGGCAAAAUCUUCUGAAUGUUCCCAUCCGACUCAUCACAUUUUUCUCGUUGAUCAUCUAUUAGUGACGAAGAAGUCAACAUUAGGGUUUAUGGUUUCUGAAUCCACCAAUCAACAAUCUGUUGGUCGCUCCCCUCGCCCCACUGCCGCAGACGACUGCGGUGCAAGGUAUUUCUCAGUUCCCCAUUCAUUUUCGAUCUCUACACGGAUCCUAAACACUGUCUAGUCUUUUCUGGCUGUAAUGCUCGAAUUCUCCAUGAACCUUCGAUUCAAUCGGGGGUGCCAUAGGAGAAUGAAAAUCAAUAAAAAAAUAAAAUUAGACGUUUUAUUGCUUUAAAAAAAUAAAUCUUCAAAAACUUCUCAAAAUUCUGUAAUUACAUCGAAUUCUUCAACAAAAAUCAAAAGUUGAUUUCAAAUCCUCAUGAAUAUAUCCUCCAAAACUUGAUUUCACUAUUUUUUUAAAACUCAUAAAAUUACUUUAUAAUUACAAAACCCACUUUUGAUUUUGGUCUAUACGCAGAGGAGAGAAAAAUUAUUGGUGAUAGGUGAUGAGAUAUUCAUGGGACCAUGGAUCCUCUGUUUGAUCCGAUGGAACAAGAGAGUUAAGAGUUUUACUUGAAGCAGCAACAACAACGUGGUGGUGAAGAUGAUUAGAGGAUAAAUGAGGGCCACACAACAGCAUGUCAUCUCCCUUUCUUUUUUAUUUUAUUUGUUUUAAUGGGCAAAGGGUCAAAAAUGCUCCUGACUUUUAACGCGAUGUCUACCGAGCACCCUAUAUUUUUUUUUAUCCAAAAAUAUCCUUAACGUUACAUUUUUGGGUCGAAUGUGCCCCUCCCGUUAACAGACAUACCACGUAGACAAACGUGACUAACAGUUGGACAAAUUUUACUGGCGAGGCAUGGAGAGAGAGUAAAAUAAUACUAAUACAUUAUUAAUUAAAAUAAUACAAUAAUAAAAAAAAUCAAAUCCAAUAUAUUCACUUCCCAAAUCUCUCAUACCUACCCAAUGAUUUCGUCACCUAAAGCCAAACAUCACCCAAAUACAAUGAAAAUGAAACUCAAAUUCAGGCCACAAAGGCCUUGUGUAUUAAGAAUUUUGGGAUUGGAUUAAAUAGAUUGUACUUGUUCUGAUCAUGCUCUAUUUUUAAUAAAAACAGGGGAGAAAACGUAUUUUGUAGCAACCUGUAAAUACAGGCAGAUGUUGGUGGAUGAAAGGAAGGAGAAGUAUUGUAGCUCUAAAGCUUCAAGAUCUGCUACUGCUGCUGAUAUUUCAAAUUCCUUUUAGUUGCAUUAAAAAAUAUUGUCUAAUUUGAAAGAGUACUUGUACGCAUAGUAGGAGACGAAAGUAAUUGAAUAUUUGAUUAUUGAGAGGUUUGGAUUUCAAAUAUAUGAAUGACAAAUAUUUGUUCAAUUGUACAAAGAAUAUGGACUUGAAGCUAGACUAUCAUCUAUAAAAUUGGCUCAUCCCAUACAUUUUCAAACCUUAUACCUGUAAGUGAACCUUUUUCGAAAACAUGUAUUGUCUCACUUCGAGCCCUCUUUAAGCUUCUUGAAUCAUCAAUAGGGAAUUGCUUACAAAACCAUUAAGCAGACUCAUACACUGGUUGUUACAGAGAACUGAACCAAUUUUUCUGCUGCUUAGGGGAACUAGGCCACUUGGGAAACUCAACUUUGGACCAUGUCCCAAAACAUAUUUUGUAGUUCAUUCAUGUUGUAAUAUUUAUCCUACACAUAAACAUUUAUGAACAAUCAAUUAGAACACCCACCUUCCACUGCAACAGAAUAUUUAUCCUUUCAGCCAAAACCCCCUAAUAUUCUUCAUAAUAUGUAGAAAGAUUUUUAAGGGUGCAAACAUCACACAAGGAAAAACCUUGUCUUCUCUUCUUAGAAUCUGCCAAGUGCCAAGGCCGAAAGUUAUAGCUCCAUGAACAAAAAGCAAAAAUCUUGACCAUCCUAAGUUCCUAACCCUCUUUGUUCCUCUGUUAAAUAUCAAAAUAUUUAAAUUAGGCAUCAACCAGUCAAUUUAUACACAUAUAUACAUGCAUAUAAAAGGAAAAACCUUGAGAUUCUGACGGAGAGGAGAUAGCUGCAGCAG